AGGUCAUAUUUUAUUUUAAAAAAUAUUGUCUAUAUAUUUUAAAAUUAAAACGUGAAGAUGAUGUGGCUUUUGAAAGAAGAUAUUGAUUCGGUACUUUGUACAAUAUCGAUGAGGAAAUCGGCGCUAGUAGGCCCUACAGGUCUGUGUCCGCCCUGAAGAAGAUCUUCAUUUUUUGAAGGUGAAGCUACAAUAUUUGUCUUGAACUUGACUUCACUAGCUGGGCUUAUAAAGACAAGAUAUCCAGAAGUGAUUUCAUAGAGAAAUGGAAAUAAAUAAUACCUAGAAGCAUGUGAAGUGGAGAUGAAGUGAUGCUGAGAACUUUCAAGGAAACUUCUCAGUGAAGUACGAUGAUGGCACACAAGAGUACCUUCUUCAUGUUCUUCAUGGGAUAAAAGCACAGGAUCAUUAUAAUCAGGAGUUACUCACAGGAUCAUUAUAAUCAGGAGUUACUAGUACUCAGUCAACAUAGACUCAAUUUGAGAAAAGAAUUAAAUGGAUAUUAAUGGUAGCCUAAAAAUAUUUGACCUAGAGUCUUUAGUUUGACAAAACAGUCAAGUGUUGGGGCACACAUGUCCUAUGGAUACUUUUCUAGUUACAAUUUAUUUAGACAUUAGUGUAAAAACAACAAAAUUAAUUAUUAAAUGCUGUUCAUGUUUGAACUAUGUUUUAAUCUUACCUACAUGUAUAAAAAUCAAACAUUUUUAGCUCGACUAUUUGAUAAGAUUAAGUAUAGCUAUUGUAGUCACCCGAGUGCCGGCGUAACCUCCUAUGUUGAAGUUUUUGUAAUACCUCAAAUAUUUUCAAAAUCCAUUGACAUAUUACUUUGAAACUUAGGGCACUUGUUCACCAUCAUGACCCCAACCUGUAGACAGGAGGAGGUAACUGUAUUGAGCAUUUUGACAGAAUUAUGCCCCUUUUUCGACUUAGAAUUUACAUUCAAGUUUUUUAAAAUACCACCUCAGAUAUUUUCAAAGUCCAUUGACUUAUGGCUCUGAAACUUUGCACACUUGUUCACCAUCAUGACCCCAACCUGUAGACAGGAGGAGGUAACCGUAACAAAUAUUUUGACAGAAUUAUGCCCCUUUUCUAACUUAGAAUUUAUGUUAAAGUUUUUGUAACACCUCAAAUAUUUUCAUAGUCCAUUGACAUAUGACUCAAAACUUUGCACACUUGUUUAACGUCAAUAUCCAAACCUGUAGACAGGGGGGGGUAACUGUAUGAAUCUUUUUGAGAGAUUAAUGCCCCUUUUUCAACUUAGAAUUUACAUUUAAGUUUGCAUACCACCUCAGAUAUUUUCAUAUUGCUUUGAAACAAGUUGAAAUUUUAAACUUUUCUUUGAGAGCAUAAUAUGACUCUCUCUCA